GUUUAGUUAGUCAUAUACUAACUGAAAAUUCAUGCAAUGGCAUACACAGCAAUUUUUCUCAACAUUUAGCCUCCAAAACACCGUAUAGAUAUAUUGCCAAUUACAACACAACACCUGUUGAAUUUAAGGGUAAUUAUGAAAAAUAAUUAUUCAACAAUAUUAGAUAGGGUAUAUUAUUCAUCAUACCUAGAUAAAAAUAUAUUAUUUUGGUGAUUAGGAUGUUAUCCUUGGAAAAUUUGGCUAGUUCAAAGACAUGGUACAAGAACACCUGGAAAAGAAUUGGAUCAAUUUGUGAAAGAAAGGUUACCAGUAAUUCAACAAGAAAUCACAAACAAUUUAAUUAAGCAUGAAGGUAUAAAAUUUAAAUUUGUAUUUUUAUAUUAAUUUAAUUGUGGAUAACAAUUUUUUUUUUUUUUUAGUAUUGGUAGAUAGGUAUCAUAAAAAGUUCAAUAAAUAAGUAUAUAGAAAAAAAAAUUAUUUUGUUUAUUGGCGUUUCGCUAGGUGGGUUGCGCAAAAAUAAAACAAUCAUAUUUUAACACUUUUUAAUUAAAAAAUAAAAAUAUAAAAUAUAUUAUGACAUGUAAUUUUUGUUCAAAUUUUUUAUAAUUUCCACAUCAAAAUUAUUCUUGUGUCUGGUAGAGAUGAUUAAAACUGUUAAAUGUAAUUGAUGUAGGAUUGGUUUUAAUUUUUUUCAUACAAGAAAAGAUCUGUUCACAGACAAAUGUAGAUCUAAAUUUGUUGCAGCUAUAUUAUCUAAAUAUUGAAAAUGAUGGAGUUAGUUCAGCAAAAGAAAAUACGGACACUUCGCACAAUAGG
rnacentral:lncRNA from 1 species